GUAGAACAGACAGCCGCGGGCCGGCACCGAAAGGUCCGGUCUGAGGAAAGUCCGGGCUCCACAGGGCAAGGAUAACGGGUAACACCCGCCGGGGGCGACCCUAGGACCAGUGCAACAGAGAGAUACCGCCACAUCACCGCAGGCUCCAUGUUUUUUGCUGUCAAUGGAGGGCAGCGUAAAGCUUGCGCCGCUGACACAGCCGGCAAAGAAUGUGGAGCCUGCGGCGGCGUGGUAAGGGUGGAAAAGUGAGGUAAGAGCUCACUCGGUGACGGGAGACCGCUCGCCGCUGUAAACUCUAUCCGGAGCAACACCGUGGGAGGACAUAAAGGCUUGCCCGGCUGUCCUCAGGAGGUGGCUGGAGCGCGUCGGCAACGGCGCGCCAAGAUAGAUGGCUGUCAAAUACAGAACCCGGCUUACAGUUUUGCUC
rnacentral:RNase_P_RNA from 1 species